CACGUAGGGAGCAAGCGUUGUCCGGAUUUAUUGGGCGUAAAGAGCUCGUAGGCUGUUCGAUAAGUCGGGUGUGAAACCUCCAGGCUCAACCUGGAGACGCCACCCGAUACUGUCAUGACUAGAGUCCGGUAGGGGAGCGUGGAAUUCCUGGUGUAGCGGUGAAAUGCGCAGAUAUCAGGAGGAACACCAAUUGCGAAGGCAGCUCGCUGGGACGUCACUGACGCUGAGACGCGAAAGCGUGGGGAGCAAACAGG
rnacentral:rRNA from 1 species